rnacentral:rRNA from 1 species
UAGGGAAUCUUCCGCAAUGGACGAAAGUCUGACGGAGCAACGCCGCGUGAGUGAAGAAGGAUUUCGGUUCGUAAAACUCUGUUGUUAGGGAAGAAAAAAUGUAUAGUAACUAUAUACAAAAGAGACGGUACCUAACCAGAAAGCCACGGCUAACUACGUGCCAGCAGCCGCGGUAAUACGUAGGUGGCAAGCGUUGUCCGGAAUUAUUGGGCGUAAAGCGCGCGCAGGCGGUCUGUUAAGUCAGAUGUGAAAGGUUAGGGCUCAACCCUGAACGUGCAUCUGAUACUGGCAGACUUGAGUAUGGAAGAGGUAAGUGGAAUUCCUAGUGUAGCGGUGAAAUGCGUAGAUAUUAGGAGGAACACCAGUGGCGAAGGCGACUUACUGGGCCAUAACUGACGCUGAGGCGCGAAAGCGUGGGGAGCAAACAGG